CUUUAUGGCGGGCGGUGCGCGGAGGCCGCAAGGCCUGCCGGCCCUCGGACCGGUCUGCUAACCGCGCAUCGUCCGCCACCUGC
rnacentral:antisense_RNA from 2 species